UUAACUCUAUUUGUAAGAUAGUUUAACGAAUACUUUUUUUACUUUUUAAAUCAAGCAAUCAUUUAGCUUAUUUUGCAAUAAGGCUUGGCUCUGACCUAAACAUAUAGUGCAAACUAAGGAAAACACAUGAUUUUUAUUGAUAGAGGUGAGGAAGAGGAUUAAUAAAGUGCUAAUAGUUUGUUAUACACUGACUUUGUUCUCUUAGGUAUUAUAAAAGACAUGAUGCUUUGAAAAGUCCCACUAACAUCAGUGUUUAAUAUUAACAAAAAGGGGAAAUUCUGAAUUAGCUUAGUACUUGAGGCCUGGUAAACUUGGUGCCAGCAUCCGCGGUUAGACCAAGAUGGCCAAAUUAUAUUAUAUAGGUUGAAAAGGCAGUUAAGCAAAGAAAUUUGAAGUUGGAGAAUUAUUUAUCAAGAAGUGAAAUUCAAACAUAAAUAAAUAACUCGUAGUAUACUGUUACAGCUGAACCUGCGACAGUUUAUAGGGAAACUGGGAUUAGAUACCCCAUUAUUGUCUACUGUAAAUUAAUUAUAUUUACCUGAGUACUAUGAAUAUAAAAAAUUUAAAACUCAAAGGGCUUGGCGGUGUUCUAGACCACUUAGGGGAACCUGUCUCAUAAUCGAAAAUCCACGUUAUACCUAACCUUUUUUUGUAUUCAGUCUGUAUACCGUCGUCGUCAGGUAACUUUGAAAAAUAUAGAAGUUGGCUAAAAAAUUAUAAUAAAUUUAGACGUCAGAUCAAGGUGCAACUUACAAAAAGGAGAGGAUGGGUUACAAUUAAAAAUUAUAAUACGGAAAGGAGGUUGAAAUUUCCAACUAUAAGGAGGACUUAAAAGUAAGAGUUUAAUUAUACAAAUUUUCUGAAUUUGGCUCUGGAACGUGCACACAUCGCCCGUCGCUCUCGUUGAAAAAUGAGAUAAGUCGUAACACAGUAGGGGUAAUGGAAAUUGUCCCUGGAUGAA
rnacentral:ncRNA from 1 species